rnacentral:rRNA from 1 species
UACAAAGGUCCCGAGCGUUGUUCGGAUUUAUUGGGCGUAAAGGGUGCGUAGGCGGCGGAGUAAGUUGGGUGUGAAAUCCCGGGGCUCAACCUCGGAAUGGCAUUCAAUACUGCUUCGCUAGAGUACUGGAGAGGAGGCUGGAAUUUACGGUGUAGCAGUGAAAUGCGUAGAUAUCGUAAGGAAGGCCGGUGGCGAAAGCGAGCCUCUGGACAGUUACUGACGCUGAUGCACGAAGGCCAGGGGAGCAAACGGG